GAUGAACGCUGGCGGCGUGCCUAAUACAUGCAAGUCGAGCGAACAGACGAGGAGCUUGCUCCUCUGACGUUAGCGGCGGACGGGUGAGUAACACGUGGAUAACCUACCUAUAAGACUGGGAUAACUUCGGGAAACCGGAGCUAAUACCGGAUAAUAUAUUGAACCGCAUGGUUCAAUAGUGAAAGACGGUUUUGCUGUCACUUAUAGAUGGAUCCGCGCCGCAUUAGCUAGUUGGUAAGGUAACGGCUUACCAAGGCAACGAUGCGUAGCCGACCUGAGAGGGUGACCGGCCACACUGGAACUGAGACACGGUCCAGACUCCUACGGGAGGCAGCAGUAGGGAAUCUUCCACAAUGGGCGAAAGCCUGACGGAGCAACGCCGCGUGCGUGAUGAAGGUCUUCGGAUCGUAAAACUCUGUUAUUCGGGAAGAACAAAUGUGUAAGUAACUAUGCACGUAUUGACGGUACCUAAUCAGAAAGCCCCGGCUAACUACGUG
rnacentral:rRNA from 1 species